rnacentral:rRNA from 1 species
CAAUGGAUACAGGUGGUGCAUGGUUGUCGUCAGCUCGUGCCGUGAGGUGUUGGGUUAAGUCCCGCAACGAGCGCAACCCUCAUUGUUAGUUACUACCAUUCAGUUGAGGACUCUAAUGAGACUGCCAACGACAAGUUGGAGGAAGGUGGGGAUGACGUCAAAUCAUCAUGCCCUUUAUGACCUGGGCUACAAACGUACUACAAUGGCCAAUACAAAGAGAUGCGAAGCGGUGACGUGAAGCGAACCCCAGAAAGUUGGUCUCAGUUCAGAUUGAAGUCUGCAACUCGACUUCAUGAAGGCGGAAUCGCUAGUAAUCGCGGGUCAGCAGACCGCGGUGAAUACGUUCCCGGGUUUU